UAUCAAGAUGAUCUCACAAGCGCCACUCAUCUGGCUGUUGGUGCUCUGGGUCCAGGAUGCCAGAGGGGACAUUGUGAUGACUCAGACUCCAGAAUCCCUGGCAGUGUCUCCAGGAGACAGAGUCACCAUCAACUGCAAAGCCAGUUCCAGCCUCACUUACUCAGGCAGUGACUACUUAUCCUGGUACCAGCAGAAAAGUGGACAAGUUCCUAAGCUCCUCAUCUACCUUGCUUCCACCCGUGCCUCUGGGAUCCCAGACCGGUUCAGCGGCAGUGGAUCUAGCACAGAUUUCACUCUCACAAUCAGCGGGGUUGAAGCUGUAGAUGCUGGAGAUUAUUAUUGCCUACAAAGCAGGAGCUCACCUCUCACAGUGAUAUAG